rnacentral:rRNA from 1 species
GGUAACGGCCCACCAAGGCGACGAUCGGUAGCCGGACUGAGAGGUUGAACGGCCACAUUGGGACUGAGACACGACCCAGACUCCUACGGGAGGCAGCAGUGGGGAAUAUUGCACAAUGGGGGAAACCCUGAUGCAGCGACGCCGCGUGGAGGAAGAAGGUCUUCGGAUUGUAAACUCCUGUUGUUGAGGAAGAUAAUGACGGUACUCAACAAGGAAGUGACGGCUAACUACGUGCCAGCAGCCGCGGUAAAACGUAGGUCACAAGCGUUGUCCGGAAUUACUGGGUGUAAAGGGAGCGCAGGCGGGAAGACAAGUUGGAAGUGAAAUCCAUGGGCUUAACCCAUGAACUGCUUUCAAAACUGUUUUUCUUGAGUAGUGCAGAGGUAGGCGGAAUUCCCGGUGUAGCGGUGGAAUGCGUAGAUAUCGGGAGGAACACCAGUGGCGAAGGCGGCCUACUGGGCACCAACUGACGCUGAGGCUCGAAAGUGUGGGUAGCAAACAGGAUUAGAUACCCUGGUAGUCCACACCGUAAACGAUGAUUACUAGGUGUUGGAGGAUUGACCCCUUCAGUGCCGCAGUUAACACAAUAAGUAAUCCACCUGGGGAGUACGACCGCAAGGUUGAAACUCAAAGGAAUUGACGGGGGCCCGCACAAGCAGUGGAGUAUGUGGUUUAAUUCGACGCAACGCGAAGAACCUUACCAAGUCUUGACAUCCGUUGACCGCUGUAGAAAUACAGUUUUCCUUCGGGACAGCGAGACAGGUGGUGCAUGGUUGUCGUCAGCUCGUGUCGUGAGAUGUUGGGUUAAGUCCCGCAACGAGCGCAACCCUUAUGGUCAGUUACUACGCAAGAGGACUCUGGCCAGACUGCCGUUGACAAAACGGAGGAAGGUGGGGAUGACGUCAAAUCAUCAUGCCCUUUAUGACUUGGGCUACACACGUACUACAAUGGCGUUAAACAAAGAGAAGCAAGACCGCGAGGUGGAGCAAAACUCAGAAACAACGUCCCAGUUCGGACUGCAGGCUGCAACUCGCCUGCACGAAGUCGGAAUUGCUAGUAAUCGUGGAUCAGCAUGCCACGGUGAAUACGUUCCCGGGCCUUGUACACACCGCCCGUCACACCAUGAGAGCCGGGGGGACCCGAAGUCGGUAGUCUAACCGCAAGGAGGACGCCGCCGAAGGUAAAACUGGUGAUCGGGGUGAAGUCGUAACAAGGU